CGGACGAACGCUGGCGGCGUGCCUAACACAUGCAAGUCGAGCGGAGUAUGGGAGAAGAUUUAUCUUUGACUGUACUUAGCGGCGAACGGGUGAGUAACGCGUGGGUAACCUACCUCAUACAGGGGGAUAACACUGGGAAACUAGUGCUAAUACCGCAUAAAAUUACAUUGGGGCAUCCUGAUGUAAUCAAAGGAGAAAUCCGGUAUGAGAUGGGCCCGCGUCCGAUUAGCUAGUUGGCAGGGUAAAAGCCUACCAAGGCGACGAUCGGUAGCCGAACUGAGAGGUUGAUCGGCCACAUUGGGACUGAGACACGGCCCAGACUCCUACGGGAGGCAGCAGUGGGGAAUAUUGCGCAAUGGGGGAAACCCUGACGCAGCAACGCCGCGUGAAGGAAGAAGGCCUUCGGGUUGUAAACUUCUUUGAUGAGGGACGAAGGAAGUGACGGUACCUCAAAAACAAGCCACGGCUAACUACGUG
rnacentral:rRNA from 1 species